rnacentral:rRNA from 1 species
UACGUAGGGUGCGAGCGUUAAUCGGAAUUACUGGGCGUAAAGCGUGCGUAGGUGGUUCGUUGAGUCUGUGGUGAAAGCCCCGGGCUUAACCUGGGAAUGGCCAUGGAAACUGGCGAGCUGGAGUGUGGCAGAGGGGGGUGGAAUUCCGCGUGUAGCAGUGAAAUGCGUAGAGAUGCGGAGGAACACCGAUGGCGAAGGCAGCCCCCUGGGCUAACACUGACGCUGAGGCACGAAAGCGUGGGGAGCAAACAGG